rnacentral:rRNA from 1 species
GACGAACGCUGGCGGCGUGCUUAACACAUGCAAGUCGAACGGCAAGGCCCUGCUUGUGUGGGGUGCCCGAGUGGCAAUCGGGUGAGUAACACGUAAGUAACCUGCCCUUGACUUUGGGGUAACUUCAGGAAACUGGAGCUAAUACCGGAUAGCAGCUCCUGCUGCAUGGUGGGGGUUGGAACGUUUCGGCGGUUGGGGAUGGACUCGCGGCUUAUCAGCUUGUUGGUGGGGUAGUGGCUUACCAAGGCGUUGACGGGUAGCCGGCCGGAGAGGGGGACCGGGCACAAGGGGACUGAGGGAGGGACCAGAGUGCUACGGGAGGCAGCAGUGGGGAAUAUGACACAAUGGGCGGAAGCCUGAUGAAGAGACGCCGCGUGCGGGAUGACGGCCUGCGGGGUGUAAACCGCUUUCGCCUGUGACGAAGCGGGAGUGACGGUAAUGGGUAAAGAAGCACCGGCUAACUACGUG